rnacentral:rRNA from 1 species
UACGAAGGGGGCUAGCGUUGCUCGGAAUCACUGGGCGUAAAGCGCGUGUAGGCGGGUCUUUAAGUCAGGGGUGAAAUGCCAAGGCUCAACCUUGGAACUGCCUUUGAUACUGGGGACCUUGAGUCCGGGAGAGGUGAGUGGAAUUGCGAGUGUAGAGGUGAAAUUCGUAGAUAUUCGCAAGAACACCAGUGGCGAAGGCGGCUCACUGGCCCGGAACUGACGCUGAGACGCGAAAGCGUGGGGAGCAAACAGG